rnacentral:rRNA from 1 species
CAUUAAUGAAUAAACUUGGUUAGGUUGUUGCUGGCUCUCAGGGGCAUGUGCACACCGACUCCAUCUUUAACCACCUGUGCACAUUGCGUAGAUCUGAUAUUCUUGAGGAAACUCGGUCUGAGAAUUGCUGUGCAACUUGCCAGCUAUUCUUGGAAUCAGGUCUAUGUUACUAUAUACCCCACAUGAAUGUAAUCGAAUGCUUAAUUGGCCUCUGUGCCUUUAAAACAAAUACAACUUUCAACAACGGAUCUCUUGGCUCUCGCAUCGAUGAAGAACGCAGCGAAAUGCGAUAAGUAAUGUGAAUUGCAGAAUUCAGUGAAUCAUCGAAUCUUUGAACGCACCUUGCGCUCCUUGGUAUUCCGAGGAGCAUGCCUGUUUGAGUGUCAUGAAAUUCUCAACCUUUCUAGCUUUUACAGCUUGUCAGGCUUGGAUUGUGGAAGUUGCUGGUUUAACAAUCAGCUCUUCUYAAAUGUAUUAGCAGAAACCUUUGCUGACCAUCUUUGGUAUGAUAAUUAUCUAUAUCAUUGAUAAUCAGUGUCCUUAGGGGAAAGGCUUCGCUUCUAAUAGUCUUUUAGACAACUUGACAACUUUGACCUCAAAUCAGGUAGGACUACCCGCUGAACUUAAG